rnacentral:rRNA from 1 species
CCGGCGACCGGCGCACGGGUGAGUAACACGUAUGCAACCUGCCCGUUUCAGCGGGAUAACCCGGAGAAAUCCGGCCUAAUACCGCAUGUGGCCGAGGGGAGGCAUCUUCUUUCGGCCAAAGGAGGCAACUCCGGAGACGGAUGGGCAUGCGUGACAUUAGCUUGUUGGCGGGGUAACGGCCCACCAAGGCGACGAUGUCUAGGGGUUCUGAGAGGAAGGUCCCCCACACUGGUACUGAGACACGGACCAGACUCCUACGGAAGGCAGCAG